rnacentral:rRNA from 1 species
CCCUUAGAUGUUCUGGGCCGCACGCGCGCUACACUGUCGGAUUCAGCGAGUCUUAACCUUAACCGAAAGGUUUGGGUAAUCUUUUGAAAGUCCGACGUGAUGGGGAUUGAUCAUUGCAAUUAUUGAUCAUGAACGAGGAAUUCCUAGUAAGCGCGAGUCAUCAGCUCGCGUUGAUUACGUCCCUGCCCUUUGUACACACCGCCCGUCGCUACUACCGAUUGAAUGGUUUAGUGAGAUCUCCGGAUUGGCACCAUCGCGGCUUCGCGGCUGUGACGGAAUGCCGAAAAGUUGAUCAAACUUGNUNAUUUAUNGGAAGUAAAANUCGUANCA